rnacentral:tRNA from 1 species
GCCGGGGUGGCAGAGUGGUAAUGCGCACGCCUUGAGAGCGUGUGCCCUUCGGGGCAUGUGGGUUCGAAUCCCACCCCCGGCG